rnacentral:rRNA from 1 species
AGAGUUUGAUCCUGGCUCAGGACGAACGCUGGCGGCGUGGAUUAGGCAUGCAAGUCGAGCGGCAAGGAACCUUCGGGUUCCCUAGAGCGGCGAACGGGUGAGUAACACGUGAACAAUCUGUCCCUACAUUCCGGAUAAUUGGAAGAAAUUCCUUGUAAUACGGGGGAGGACCACCGAAAGGCAUCUUUCGGUGUGGGAACAUGCAAAUGGUGCAGGGAGGAGUUCGCGGCCUAUCAGGUAGUUGGUGUGGUAACGGCACACCAAGCCUACGACGGGUAGCUGGUCUGAGAGGAUGGUCAGCCACAUUGGAACUGAGACACUGUCCAGACUCCUACGGGAGGCAGCAGCCAGGAAUCUUGGGCAAUGGGCGAAAGCCUGACCCAGCAACACCGUGUGGGCGAUGAAGGCCUUAGGGUCGUAAAGCCCUGUUGAUAGGGACGAAGGGCGAAGGGUUAAUAGCCCCUAGCUUGACGGUACCUUUCGAGGAAGCCCCGGCUAACUACGUGCCAGCAGCCGCGGUAAUACGUAGGGGGCGAGCGUUGUCCGGAAUUAUUGGGCGUAAAGAGCGUGUAGGCGGUUCGGUAAGUCUGUCGUGAAAUCCUGGGGCUCAACCCCGGGCGUGCGAUGGAUACUGCCGGGCUAGAGGGUGGUAGAGGCGAGUGGAAUUCCCGGUGUAGCGGUGAAAUGCGCAGAUAUCGGGAGGAACACCAGUAGCGAAGGCGGCUCGCUGGGCCACACCUGACGCUGAGACGCGAAAGCUAGGGGAGCGAACAGGAUUAGAUACCCCAGUAGUCC